rnacentral:rRNA from 1 species
GACAGAGGGUGCAAACGUUGCUCGGAAUCACUGGGCGUAAAGGGCGUGUAGGCGGGAAGGAAAGUCAGAUGUGAAAUCCCCAGGCUCAACCUGGGAACUGCAUUUGAAACUCCCUUUCUUGAGUACCGGAGAGGAAAGUGGAAUUCCUGGUGUAGAGGUGAAAUGCGUAGAUAUCAGGAGGAACACCGGUGGCGAAGGCGGUUCUCUGGGCAUGUCCUGACGCUGAGGAGCGAAAGUGUGGGGAGCGAACAGG